rnacentral:rRNA from 1 species
UACGUAGGGGGCAAGCGUUGUCCGGAUUUAUUGGGCGUAAAGAGCGUGUAGGCGGCUAGGUAGGUCCGUUGUGAAAACUCGAGGCUCAACCUCGAGCUGUCGAUGGAAACCGUCUGGCUAGAGUCCGGAAGAGGAGUGUGGAAUUCCUGGUGUAGCGGUGAAAUGCGCAGAUAUCAGGAAGAACACCUAUGGCGAAGGCAGCACUCUGGGACGGUACUGACGCUGAGACGCGAAAGCGUGGGGAGCGAACAGG